GAGCAAGAGUGGAGUCAUCAAUGUACUUCACGUAGCGAGCGAUCUCAUCCUCGCUUGCCCCUUCUUCGGGCGUAGGCAUCACUGUAUCAAGGACGUACACGAUUUUCUCCGCUGUGAGAAUAAUUCUCAAGUAUGCCACAUAAGGGAUUUGAAAGCGACAUUUUCUGAAAAUAAAGAUGCAGCAAAAAUGAAUAACAUGCAGAUUUUGCAAGAAAUAAACUAUCAAGAUAUGGACUUCUAUCUUAAUAUGCUCCCACUAUUUUACUAACGAGUCACGCGACACCCUCAGCACGUGAAACGAAAGUCUCCGGUAAACUUCUAGUGGGGAUCAGGAUCCAAUCAG
rnacentral:lncRNA from 1 species